ACAAUCAGGCACCCUGUCGCGGACCGGGAAACCGGGAUGAGGAAAGUCCGGACAACGUAGAGCGCCACACCAUCUAACGGAUGGGCCCCGAACCUUCGGGGACAGAGAGUGUCACAGAAAAUAACCGCCCCGGGCAACCGGGGUAAGGGUGAAAACGUGCGGUAAGAGCGCACGGCGUUCCCGGGCAACCGGGAGGGCGGAUAAACCUUGUGGGUUGAAAUGCCAUGUACACCGACGCCGGCAAAAGGGGGUUUUCCCCUUUGCCAAAAGGUUGCUCGCCUGAGUCGGGGGGUAGGCAGAUUGACCCUGACCGUGAGGUCAGGGCCAGAUAAAUGACAGGGACCUUCCUUCGGGAACGGGACAGAAUCCGGCUUAUCGCCUGGUUGUAUUU
rnacentral:RNase_P_RNA from 1 species